rnacentral:rRNA from 2 species
ACCCGACUGCGUAUYUGGGUGARGAUMARCCAGUGCGAGUCGUAURGGACUCCCUARAGUUCCCACAKCAAACUGCKCAGUNWGNCMUGAUCAACUUGCCCUAUGGAGAGCACUAACCUCGGGAAACUGAGGAUAAUGGCUCAUACUUGAUUAGGCUUGGAAAAGUUUUUCAAUGAAAGGCGUAAGAAAAAUGGUUCUUAUGCGCCAUAGGAUAGGAUCGUGCUCGAUUAUGGUAGUUGGUGAGGUAACGGCUCACCAAGCCGAUAAUCGAUAGGGGCCGUGAGAGCGGUUGCCCCGAGAUGGGUACUGAGACAGCGACCCAGGCCUUACGAGGCGCACAGGCGCGAGACCUCCGCAAUACACGCARSRGGVGAGUGUGACGGGGUUACCCAAAGUGUCCUUAUUGGACUGUGGCGGGUGAGUAAUGUUCCCCGCUAGAAAGGAGAGGGCAAGGCUGGUGCCAGCCGCCGCGGUAAAACCAGCUCUUCAAGUGGUCGGGAUAAUUAUUGGGCUUAAAGUGUCCGUAGCCGGUUUAGUAAGUUCCUGGUAAAACCGGGCAGCUUAACUGUCCGUAUGCUAGGAAUACUGCUAUGCUAGAGGGCGGGAGAGGUCUGAGGUACUACAGGGGUAGGGGUGAAAUCUUAUAAUCCUUUGUAGGACCACCAGUGGCGAAAGCGUCAGACUGGAACGCGCCUGACGGUGAGGGACGAAAGCCAGGGGAGCGAACCGGAUUAGAUACCCGGGUAGUCCUGGCCGUAAACGAUGCAUACUAGGCAAUGGUGCGGCCAUGAGCCGCAUCAGUACCGUAGGGAAACCGUUAAGUGUGCCGCCUGGGAAGUACGGUCGCAAGGCUAAAACUUAAAGGAAUUGGCGGGGGAGCACCACAAGGGGUGAAGCUGCGGUUCAAUUGGACUCAACGCCGGGAAACUUACCAGGGGAGACAGCAGAAUGACAGUCAGGUUGACGACCUUACUCGACGAGCUGAGAGGAGGUGCAUGGCCGUCGCCAGUUCGUGCUGUGAGGUAUCCUGUUAAGUCAGGCAACGAACGAGAUCCGCGCCUUUAUUUGCCGUCAAGAAGUCACGACUUCGUUGGGAACACUAAAGGGACCGCCGUCGAUAAGACUGAGGAAGGAGCGGGCAAAGGCAGGUCAGUAUGCCCCGAAACCCCUGGGCUACACGCGGGCUGCAAUGGUGCGAACAAUGGGCUGUAACUCCGAAAGGAGAAACCAAUCCCGAAAUCGCAUCUCA